AUUGUAGUUUUUAACAGGUCGGUUAACAGGAGCUGAAACGUUCACAUUACUCAAACAAACGCAAUUUUAUUAUACAGCGUGUUUUAAAAAAACGAUUUAUAUUAUUUCAAUAAGGUAGUGCCUAAGC